rnacentral:tRNA from 1 species
CGGAAGUAGCUCAGUUGAUAGAGCAUUAGCCUUCCAAGCUGAGGGUCGCGGGUUUGAGUCCCGUCUUCC